UACGAACCGUCCAAACGUUACUCGGAUUUACUGGGCGUAAAGCGCACGUAGUCGGCUUUGCAAGUCGGGUGUGAAAUCCCCGGGCUCAACCUGGGAACUGCAUCCGAGACUGCAUUGCUAGAGUAUGGGAGAGGGAAGCGGAAUUUCUGGUGUAGCAGUGAAAUGCGUAGAUAUCAGAAGGAACAUCAGUGGCGAAGGCGGCUUCCUGGACCAAUACUGACGAUCAGGUGCGAAAGCGUGGGGAGCAAACAGG
rnacentral:rRNA from 1 species